GUUGAAACACCAGUUCCCAAAACGAUCAUCGAAGUUAAGCAACGUCGAGCCUGAUCAGUACCUAGAUGGGUGACCGCUUGGGAAUACCAGGUACAGU